ACAACACACACAUGCACACAAUCAAAUAUAAACACAGACAAACACAAAACAGACCUACAAACACAGACAAAAAUAAAUACAACAGUGAUAUUAACUGAAGGUUACACACACACACACACACACACACACACACAGACACACACUAACACACACACACACACACACAGACACACACACACACACACACACAGACACACACACACACACACACACACACACAGGAACAUCAGUGUCUGUGAGAUACCUGACUGUGUGUCGUCUGAUUGGUUGCAGGCUCAGAGAGUGGCAGGACCUCACCCUAUCACAACCAGCCACGGCCAUACUUCACCCCGCCCACCAGAAACAAGAUGCCAAAACACUUCCAUCUGCCAGGUACACUCAUUCACACACACACACACACACACACACACACACACACACACACACACACACACUAAAUACUCACACACACACACACACACACACACACACACACACACACACACACACACACACACACAUAGAACACAGAAACACACUCUCACUCCUCUCCCUCUGUCUCAUCAGCCACAGGAGAGACUAACAUCUAUGGGAAGCCUCCAAUCUAUAAACAAGCAGGUACUGUGUGUGUGUGUGUGUGUGUGUGUGUCUGUGUGUCUGUGUGUGUCUGUGUGUGUGUCUGUGUGUGUCUGUGUGUGUGUGUGUGUGGGGGGGGUUGUGUGUGUGUCUGUGUGUGUGUGUGUGGGGGGGGGGGGUUGUGUGUGCCUGUGUGUUUGGGAUUGUGUGUGUCUGGGUGUGUGUGUGUGUGUGUGUGUGUGUCUGUGUCUGUGUGUGUCUGUUUGUGUUUUGGGAUUGUGUGUGUCUGUGUGUCUGGGAUUGUGUGUGUCUGGGUGUGUGUGUGUGUCUGUGUCUGUGUGUCUGGGAUUGUGUGUGUGUGUGUGUGUGUGUCUGUGUCUGUGUCUGUGUCUGUGUCUGUGUCUGUGUCUGUGUCUGUGUCAGUGUGUUUGGGAUUGUGUGUGUGUGUGUGUGUUUAGGGAUUGUGUGUGUGUGUCUGUGUGUUUGGGAUUGGGUGUGUCUGUGUGUGUGUGUGUGUCUCUUUGGGAUUGUCUGUGA
rnacentral:lncRNA from 1 species